UACGUAGGGUGCAAGCGUUAAUCGGAAUUACUGGGCGUAAAGCGUGCGCAGGCGGCUAUGCAAGACAGAUGUGAAAUCCCCGGGCUCAACCUGGGAACUGCAUUUGUGACUGCAUGGCUAGAGUACGGUAGAGGGGAUGGAAUUCCGCGUGUAGCAGUGAAAUGCGUAGAUAUGCGGAGGAACACCGAUGGCGAAGGCAAUCCCCUGGACCUGUACUGACGCUCAUGCACGAAGCGUGGGGAGCAAACAGG
rnacentral:rRNA from 1 species